GACGAACGCUGGCGGCGUGCUUAACACAUGCAAGUCGAACGGUAAGGCCCUUCGGGGUACACGAGUGGCGAACGGGUGAGUAACACGUGGGUGAUCUGCCCUGCACUUCGGGAUAAGCCUGGGAAACUGGGUCUAAUACCGGAUAGGACCCUGGAAUGCAUGUCCUGGGGUGGAAAGCUUUUGCGGUGUGGGAUGGGCCCGCGGCCUAUCAGCUUGUUGGUGGGGUGAUGGCCUACCAAGGCGACGACGGGUAGCCGGCCUGAGAGGGUGACCGGCCACACUGGGACUGGGAUACGGCCCAGACUCCUACGGGAGGCAGAAGUGGGGAAUAUUGCAAAAUGGGCGCAAGCCUGAUGCAGCGACGCCGCGUGAGGGAUGACGGCCUUCGGGUUAUAAACCUCUUUCAGCACCGACGAAGCGCAAGUGACGGUAGGUGCAGAAGAAGGACCGGCCAACUACGUGCCAGCCGCCGCAGUAA
rnacentral:rRNA from 1 species